rnacentral:rRNA from 1 species
AGAGUUUGAUCCUGGCUCAGAACGUACGCUGGCGGCACGCCUAACACAUGCAAGUCGAACGCAGUAGCAAUACUGAGUGGCAAACGGGUGAGUAUAAUGUGGGAAUCUGCCUUUUGGUUUGGAAUAACACGAGGAAACUUGUGCUAAUACCGGAUAAGCCUUCACAGGGAAAGUUUUAUACGCCAAAAGAUGAGCCCGCACUUGAUUAGCUAGUUGGUGAGGUAAUUGCUCACCAAGGCAACGAUCAAUAGCUGUUCUUAGAGGAAGACCAGCCACAUUGGGACUGAGACACGGCCCAAACUCCUACGGGAGGCAGCAGUGGGGAAUCUUGCACAAUGGGGGAAACCCUGAUGCAGCGAUGCCGCGUGAGUGAAGAAGGCCUUUGGGUUGUAAAACUCUUUCGUCGGGGAAGAAAAUGACUGUACCCGAAUAAGAAGGUCCGGCUAACUUCGUGCCAGCAGCCGCGGUAAUACGAAGGGACCUAGCGUAGCUCGGAAUUACUGGGCUUAAAGAGCUCGUAGGUGGUUAAAAAAGUUGAUUGUGAAAUCCCAAGGCUCAACCUUGGAACUGCAAUCAAAACUUUUUAGCUAGAGUAUGAUAGAGGAAAGUGGAAUUUCUAGUGUAGAGGUGAAAUUCGUAGAUAUUAGAAAGAACACCAAAUGCGAAGGCAACUUUCUGGAUCAUUACUGACACUGAGGAGCGAAAGCAUGGGUAGCGAAGAGGAUUAGAUACCCUCGUAGUCCAUGCCGUAAACGAUGUGUGCUAGACGUUGGAAACAUAGUUUUCAGUGUCGCAGCGAAAGCGUUAAGCAC